rnacentral:sRNA from 1 species
UAUGUUGUUGUAUGCCCGACGUAGUAUGU